GUCACAACAAGGUCAUUCAGGAGAGGGAAGUGGAACCACGCUUCUCUAAUAGCCUCGCUGCAGCUACCCACUGGAUAUUGGAUCGGAUCGAUCCGGUUCGGGAACAUAGGAACAAUAUGUAUUCUAAAUUCAAGUGAAAGUAUUACAAGAAAUUGUGGAAGGGUGGUGCUACAUGUUUCAAGCAACACCUUUCAAGAAACCAUGGAGGGGGAGAGGUAGCACGUAUGAGACGAGUGGUGGCUCCUACCAUGAGGGUGUUCGUGCCAUGUUUGGGAGAACAUCUUUUAGGAAGGAGAAGAUGCUACACAAAACCAAUAUCACAACACACUUGAGGAGCGUAGGACCACGUUCACGGAUGAUGAAGUGACUCGUCAAACAAUGAGGUCGGUGUACUAAUGGGAGGAGCCCGAGUACUACUAAAUAUUGGUGAACUCAUGGAGUGCACUUCUAUAUGGAUCGAGCAGAAUUGGGCGAAAUACAAG
rnacentral:lncRNA from 1 species